CUUCGCUUUUGUAUGAAGGCGGUGGAGAGGAGAGAGAAGCGGUCAGGGUUUUAGAUCCGGAAAAGGCAGAUGCGUUCUUCGUGCCGUUUUUCUCUUCGUUGAGCUUCAAUACACACGGGCAUACCAUGACGGAUCCGGAGACUGAGAUAGAUCGCCAAUUGCAGGUUGAUGUGGUAGAAAUGUUGUAUAAAUCUAAGUACUGGCAGAAGUCUGGAGGUAGAGACCAUGUGAUUCCCAUGACACAUCCGAAUGCUUUUAGGUUUCUCCGACAACAGUUGAAUGCAUCUAUUCUCAUGGUUGCAGAUUUUGGCCGCUACCCAAAAUCCAUGUCAACUCUGAGCAAAGAUGUGGUGGCCCCAUAUGUACACGUUGUUGAUUCUUUUACAGAUGAUGAACUUCCAGAUCCAUUUGAAUCUCGUAGCAAACUUCUUUUCUUCCGUGGGAAUACAGUCAGGAAAGAUGAAGGC
rnacentral:misc_RNA from 1 species